UACGUAGGCAGCAAGCGUUGUUCGGAGUUACUGGGCGUAAAGGGUGUGUAGGCGGUUGUUUAAGUUUGGUGUGAAAUCUCCCGGCUCAACUGGGAGGGUGCGCCGAAUACUGAAUGACUAGAGUGCGGGAGAGGAAAGUGGAAUUCCUGGUGUAGCGGUGAAAUGCGUAGAUAUCAGGAGGAACACCGGUGGUGUAGACGGGCUUUCUGGACCGUAACUGACGCUGAGACACGAAAGCGUGGGUAGCAAACAGG
rnacentral:rRNA from 1 species